CGGGGCUCGGUUACCGUGCUCGUCUCGGCCCUGCUGGAGAAUAGGGCACACGGCGCUGCCGCCCACCAGACUGUCACUGUACUGGCCCAGAAGGAGGAUAUUUCGGCUCCGACGUGCACAGUCCUGCCAGGAGCUGACGUAGAUUGCGGUGACUACCUCACCGAGGACGACUGUAAUGACCGGUUCCGGACAGUGGAAUUUGGGGUCUCCGACACCGGAUCAGGUCUACAAGAGGUGCACAUGUUCCCCAGCGGGGUGG